CUGCAAGGCAGGCAGUGCUUCCCGUUCGCCGGGGAGUUCAAGCAAAGCCCCGAGAAAGCAGUUAUUUGCUUUUCAACUCGCUACACGGCCCCUCUAUCCCGACGCAGCUCAGAGGCAAACGACGUUAGUUCUUCACUCAAGGGCACCGCAGGCACCAAAGUGCGGCCGUCCCCCGGGUCCGGGCGCCUUCCGAGCAGAUACACCCCUUCCACUUCCGCCCCGUCCCCGCCCCGUCCCCGCCCCCGCGGAGUUCCCGCAUCCCCGACACAGGGCGCACGACCCUGUCUCCGGGAUCUGAAGGGCCAGAACAGAAUGCACAUCACGCCUCAGUCAGAAGGGGAGGAAACAGCACUUUGCAGCCUUCUAUGAACCAGAAGGCAGGAUCACCUUGUUUCAUUCUUAUCCUCAAAUAAAAGACAACUGAAGCCUU